UACAGAGGUCUCAAGCGUUGUUCGGAUCCAUUGGGCGUAAAGGGUGCGUAGGCGGCGCGGUAAGUCGGGUGUGAAAUCUUGGAGCUUAACUCCGAAACUGCAUUCGAUACUGCCGUGCUUGAGGACUGGAGAGGAGACUGGAAUUUACGGUGUAGCGGUGAAAUGCGUAGAUAUCGUAAGGAAGACCAGUGGCGAAGGCGGGUCUCUGGACAGUGCCUGACGCUGAGGCACGAAGGCCAGGGGAGCAAACGGG
rnacentral:rRNA from 1 species